rnacentral:misc_RNA from 1 species
ACUCCCUCUCUCUCCAGUAUCUCUCCCGGAUCCGCCGUCUCCUUAUAAAAAUCUAUCAGCUCUACUCUUAUUGCAGAGUUUUCUUCUCCAUUGCUUCUCUCUCGUGAUAACACGAUUGAGAGAUCCAGAUCGUCUUAGUUGUUGAGAUGGCAACAUCAAAAGGUGGAGCCACGGGAUGGUACAGCGCAAAAGUGAAAGCUGUUCCGUCGGGGGACUCUCUGGUUUUAACAGCCAAGUCCAGCAACAAGCCUGGCCCUCCACCGGAAAGGACCAUCACUCUGUCUUCUCUUAUCGCUCCAAGAAUGGCCCGAAGAGGAGGCGUUGAUGAGCCCUUUGCCUGGGAGAGCAGGGAGUUUUUGAGGAAGCUAUGCAUAGGAAAGGAUGUCAUAUUUAAGAUAGAUUAUGCUGUACCUUCCAUUGGCAGAGAAUUUGGGAGUGUGUUUGUAGAUGACCAAAAUGUUGGAGCGUUAAUUGUUUCGGAAGGCUGGGCAAAGGUCAGGGAGCAGGGUCAGCAGAAAGGCGAGGCCAGUCCUUUUCUUGCUGAAUAUCAACUUCUUGAAGAACAAGCUAAGCAAAAUGGUCGGGGACGAUGGAGUAAGGCACCUGGUGCUGUUGAGGCAUCCAUCAGAAAUCUACCUCCCUCUGCUAUUGGUGAUCCUAGUAACUUGGAUGCCAUGGGUCUUCUUGCUGCAAACAAGGGCAGACCCAUGCAAGGCAUUGUUGAGCAAGUUCGUGAUGGCAGCACUGUCCGGGUCUAUUUGCUUCCAGAUUUUCAGUUUGUCCAGGUGUUUGUUGCUGGAAUCCAGGCCCCUUCAAUGGGUAGAAGAGCAGCAUCAGAUACUGCUAUGGAAAAAGGACUAAACUCUGAGCAAAAUGGAGAUGCUUCUGAAACUCAAGCCCCUUUAACCUCUGCACAGAGACUUGCAGUCUCUACAGUAUCUACGGAAGUUGCUCCUGAUCCAUUUGGAAUAGA